CGUGUCCCCGCGGCCCUUGGGCGCCGCCAGCCCCACGUCGUCCCGCAGCUCCUCGGGCGGCACCUCCAGGUUGCCCGCGUACCAGAACACCCACCAGAUGAGGCUGAGGAAGAUGCCGAUGCCGCCCGCGUAGAUGAGCAGGUCGGAGAAGAACACGUCGGCGAACACGCCCGCCAGCAGCACCGCCAGCCCCAGCGCGUCGAACGCCAGCGCCAGCCAGAAGGCGGCCACGCAACGACCGAGCCCGCCCGGGGCCGCCAUCGGAGCGGCGCCGCCGCCACCGCCUCGGGCCGCCCGCACGUGAGGGAAGGCGGGCGGGAGUGGCGGGAGGGCGGCGCCCACCUAAGGGCACGUCCGGGCCGAGCCCCCCGCACCUGAGGGCACGGCCGGGACAGUUCCCCCGCACCUGAGGGCACGGCCGGGACAGUUCCCCCGCACCUGAGGGCACCGCCAGGCCCCGCCCCCGCCUGCACCUGAGGGGGCGCCCAGGCCACGCCCCCCACACCUGAGGGCACCUCCAGCUCCCGCCCCGAUGAGGCGGCAACGCGCUGCCCUCAGGCGGCCCCGCCGCUCCCGCGGUGGGUGCUGAAGGUGUUUAAGGUUGAUCUGUAGCGACCGACGGCAUUCGGGGGCCGGGGCGUCCCUUGGAAGUGGCGGUCGCUGCCGCUUCCGUGUGCAGAUGGAAGAAACAACAGUACUGGCGACCAUCAUGCAGGAACACCCUCAACUGUUCUGGUACCAGAAAAAAAGCCCACAAGUGAAGCUUCAGGAUUGAAAGGCACGUACCUUGUAACUGGCAACCCAAAGAAUCAGUAUUCUCUGUGCCUAAGGAUGGCAGCCCAGCUUCCAGUUACACCAAAAGUGGGACUAAAGCGGUUUUCACUGAAGGCACGGGAGCCGCCAGGAGGGGGCCGGGGCAGCCAAAUCCCUCACGCUCAGCAUUAGCAAAGUGCUCUUUCCCAAGCCAAAGGACACGAGCAACCCCUAUACCGGUGAGUUUCUUACAUUCUGAUGAGUUUUGCCUCCCGCGGGACCUUCCAGACUGUCACUAGGAGGUGAACGCUCUCGUUCUCGUUGAGGAGCAGCGCGUCUCCCUUGGCCUUGCUCCUGGCGAAAGCCAGGAGAGCCUCCACCGCCAUCUUCACCUGCAACGGCGCCAGCCGUGGUUAAACCCCAGCCCGGCCCGGCCCGGCCCCGCUCCAGGUGCUCCCCUCCGGCUCCCCGCGGUACCUGGGCGCUCUCCAGGUGCUCCCCCCCGGCUCCCCGCGGUACCUGGGCGCUCUCCAGGUGCUCCCCCCCGGCUCCCCGCGGUACCUGGGCGCUCUCCAGCAGCUCUCUCCGUCCCGCCAUGGUCCCGCCGGUGCCACGUGCGGCCGCUGCGCCUGCGCGGGCUCCUCUUUCCGGGUCACGGCGGGGCCCGGCCGGGAAGGGGCGGUGCGGGGGGGGCGGGUCCCGCGGCUCCUGCUGGUCCCGGACCGGGGCCGGGGGUGUUCCCCGGGGGCACCGUUCCCGUCCUCGGAGCCAGCCUUGUCCUAGAACGUCACGGGCUAAUCGAGUUUGGAGCAGAGCUCCGGAGGCCGUCAGUGCGUCCCGCCCCGGCAGCAGCGCCAGCCGGAGGUCAGGCGGGGAUGCUCAGGGCUGUGUCCAGCCCGGGCUUCCCAGCUCCAGGGAUGGAGACUGUGCCAAUGCCCAAGUGUCCCAGUGCUCCAUUUGUUACUGGCCUUCGGGUAGAGGACAAGCCAUUAUCUCUACCUUCAGAUUUUUAUUGUCCAAAGAAUUGUUACCCAUGUCUUCAGAUUCCUUCUUUGAAGCCUAUCCCUGAUUUUAUCUCCUGUAUUACUGUCCUUUUGCACUGGAGUGCUGUUGUAAGUUCCAUGUUUUCCUGAGUAUCAGGAGGAACUGUUUUUAUGAUUGGAGAAGGAUGUCCUUAAAGAACUGCUGCCAGCUCCCCUGAGCAACUUUCAGAGCUGCCUCCCAUGGGAUCUUGCCUGCUGGUUCUCUGAAUAAACUCAUGUAUGUCUCAUGGACUCCAGGGCCUGCCUUCUGCUCCUCAUCUUCCUCACACUCUGUGUCUUGAACUCUGCUAUUUCCAGGUCACUGCCAUUGAGGCAGCCACUGAUUAUCACAUGCUAAACCAUUUCUUCCUCAUUUGUGACUAAUAAAGGUACAACUACUGUGUCUGCUGUUCAGUUUGGGAAUGCACUGACUGACUACGUGGAAGUAGCUUAAUUUUAGGAUGCUUAUCCCGUUGAGUUCCAUGCUGGAUAAAUACAUUGUUCUGAGAUAAAAUCUGGCCUGGAAUUAUUUUGCCCUCAUUCCCACAGUGCUGUGUGUGCCUUGGCAGCUUUGCCUUGUCUGCAUUCAUCACACAGGUAAGCUGCUACCUGGGUAACACAGCUAUGCAUCACCAGGGUUUAAAUAUGCAUGUAACUAGAAGUCUGAGUCAUUCACUCAUCUCUAGAUCUUUUCUUGCCCUCUGCCUUUCUAUUUAUGGUUUUAUUCUUUCUCAUCAGAUGUCUUCCAACAAAAUUUGUUGCUCCAUCGGUGUGCAAAGAGAAAGUACAAAGAGAAAGAAACUAAAAUACCCUAGUCUCAUGACAAACUGUUUCACGUAGUGGUUUAUAUUUUCAUUCUAUUGUUAGUGUUUUUUAGAGCAACAGUGGAAUAGUUGAUGGCUUCAAGACAUAUCCAGACUUAUGAAAGAACUAUAUGGACAUAAACUGAUUUUAAAGAGUGGGGAAAAAAAAUCCUAUUGUGAUAUUUGAACAAAAUAAACGAAACUGGCUAAGAAAAAGAAAA